AAGAAGGCCUUCGGGUUGUAAAGGCAACUUUUUGGUACCGGGAAAACGUAAAAACGUUCUAGCCCUUAAUACGGUGGGAGGAUGACGGUACCGGAAGAAUAAGCACCGGCUAACUACGUGC
rnacentral:rRNA from 1 species